AAAAGUAUGAUAAAAAUAUAUUAUAUUUUAUUUUAUAUGUAAUAUCAAAUUUCACAAAUAGCAAUUAGCUAGUUAUUAUAUAUAUUUUAUUGUUCCACUGAAAUAUGGAGAAGCAUAUAUUUUUGGAGUCCCGUUACAGUGCUUUUAAAAGCACGAAGCACUUGGUGCUUGUAAAAUUUUUAUCGUUAAAUCUAUACCCCUUUGAUUGUUUUCACUCGUUAGAUCAUACUACUUAACCAACCAACCACUCAAUUCUAGAGAAUCAGUAUCAUCCUAACCUUACAUUUUCUUAAUCCAAAGGCCGAAAAACUAUAAAAGUAUAGGAGCUCAAUUCUAUAUUUCUAUAUACUUAACUUCGCUUUGCCCGUUAGCAUUAUAUGAAAAAAAAUUUUCAAUAGAAAACUCCCUAACGAUGCCCGGCUAGAGAGCCUCCAACCUGUUAUCACGUAUUAUUUUUACCUCUAUCCGAGAAUUCGAUGAACGUUAUUUAGUACUAAAAUCUAAAAAUAAUAAUAAUAAAUUUUAAAGUAAAGAAUUAUAAUCUUUAAAUAGAGACAAAACCAGCAUACGAAAGCAAACAUUACAGGAGAGCUCGCUACUCUUUUUUUCUUUUUUUUUUCUUUUU
rnacentral:lncRNA from 1 species